UUAGUGACGCGCAUGAAUGGAUU
rnacentral:ncRNA from 5 species